rnacentral:rRNA from 1 species
CAGGCCUAACACAUGCAAGUCGAACGGAAACGAUGCUAGCUUGCUAGCAGGCGUCGAGUGGCGGACGGGUGAGUAACACGUGGGAAUCUGCCUAUUAGUGGGGGAUAAGCUGGGGAAACCCAGUCUAAUACCGCAUACGCACUACGGUGGAAAGGGGCCCUCUCCUUGGAAGGUCUCGCUAAUAGAUGAGCCCGCGUCAGAUUAGCUAGUUGGUGGGGUAAAGGCCCACCAAGGCGACGAUCCGUAGCUGGUCUGAGAGGAUGAUCAGCCACACUGGGACUGAGACACGGCCCAGACUCCUACGGGAGGCAGCAGUAGGGAAUAUUGGACAAUGGAGGAAACUCUGAUCCAGCCAUGCCGCGUGUGUGAAGAAGGCCCUAGGGUUGUAAAGCACUUUCAGUAGGGAGGAAACGCCUACGGUUAAUACCCGUGGGCUAUGACGUUACCUACAGAAGAAGCACCGGCUAAUUUCGUGCCAGCAGCCGCGGUAAUACGAAAGGCGCAAGCGUUAAUCGGAAUUACUGGGCGUAAAGCGUACGUAGGCGGUUGAUUAAGCAGGAUGUGAAAGCCCCGAGCUCAACUUGGGAACUGCAUCCUGAACUGGUCAACUAGAGUACAGCAGAGGAGAGUGGAAUUUCUCGUGUAGCGG